rnacentral:lncRNA from 1 species
CGAGGCAUUUGAUGUCUCUAUUAGUGAUGAUGACGAAAUUAUGAAGCUUAAACCCACUGAUAUCUAUAACCACUCAUCUUUGAGAUGAAUGGGAUAUAUUUUUUCUGAUGGGGUAUGGAGGCAUGUAAGUGCUAUGGAUGAAGAAGAAAGCUCAGAAGAAGAUGAGGCUGCUGACAAAGACCAACCUAUGCAUCAUACUCAAACUACACAGCCUAUCAUUACGGCUCAGCCUGAUCAGUCUACAUAGUUUGAUCAGUAGACAUCC